rnacentral:rRNA from 1 species
UGGGCAACCUGCCCUCAGCUCUGGGAUAACUCCGGGAAACCGGUGCUAAUACUGGAUAUGACUCGAGCAGGCAUCUGUUUCGGGUGGAAAGAUUUAUUGGUGGAGGAUGGACUCGCGGCCUAUCAGCUUGUUGGUGAGGUAAUGGCUCACCAAGGCGACGACGGGUAGCCGGCCUGAGAGGGCGAUCGGCCACACGUGGGACUGAGACACGGUCCAGACUCCGUAGGAG